UUUGUGUCUCUGCGGAGCGCAUGCCACCUCCGGAAAAACAACGAAUCUGUUAGAACGGGGGGAGAGAGACACUAGCGUGAGUUUUGUUAAUCUUUUAAAGCCUCCCGUUGAACCUAGAAACCCAAAAAUUAACUUGAACAGCAAAUGCUCUGGGGUUUAGAGAACGUUUGUUUCUUUGUCUUUUUCAUUGCCUCUUCCGUGCCAAAAACAAUCUGUUUGCUGGAGAACACAUCCGGAAAGAGCUGUUUUCCCCUGUUCAUCCAGUGAGAAGAUAUGUUUUCUCUCUACCAGUUAGAUUUCUUCUUUUGUCAGAAAGAAGAGCAUCUGUCCUCCAGGCUGGGCUUUGUCUCCCCGUUUGCUCUGCGACUGCACUAGCGCAGCAAGGCUACAUAAGGAGGCUUUUCAGCAGAGGAGCCUGGUGUUGAACUCGUGCCAUGGGGAAUGAAUUCUUCUAUAGACCCCUCGUCCUCUUCUGGAAGUUAAAGGGGGGCGAUUUGCAAAAAAA
rnacentral:lncRNA from 1 species